GAGACCCCAGGUCAGGCGGGACUACCCG
rnacentral:rRNA from 4 species